rnacentral:lncRNA from 1 species
ACAAAAAUACAUUGUAUAUAAAAAAAGCAAUAUAUAUUAAAAAAAAAAUAAUAAGGAAGAAAUAAGCAAUUUUUUUCCAGAUGUUUUUGUUACAAAUUUAAUUUCUUUUUUUUUUUACUAAAAAUUAUUACAAUACAAUUGUUAUCACCAUCGUUUAUGUUAAAAAAUAUGAUAAAAAAUAGUUAUAUUUAGGGAUGGUAAUUUUUUUAUUUUUUAUUUUUUUGCCAAAUAACCACAAGAACUAUAUACUUGCACUUCAGUUCAGCUUUAAUAUAAUUCCUAUUUUAAUGUCCUUUGUCUGACAUCCUGUGACUUCUUCAGUGACUCUCCAUCACAUAUUCUGUGACUCUUCAGUGACUCUCCAUCAUAUAUUCUGUGACUUCUUCAGUGACUCUCCAUUCCACAUGUCUCCUGUUCUGUUUAGUUCAUUAGAAUGGACUCCAAAAAUUCUCAACGGAGGGGCACAUAGUCCCCCACACAAGGGGUCCAUUUGGAGAUCGAGGAGGACAUUUUAGAGCUAAGGGGCUUUCUUGUACCAAACAGCACACUUUCAAUAGACAACAAGUUGAUGUUGCAUGGUAGAAAUAAAGACAAUUACCAAACUCUCAAUUUUUUGCAUUUCAAUUUGUACAUCUGUACUCCCGAUUGCAUACAAGCGCAUAUGUAAAACGACGUCCUUUAUUUUUUGAAUCAUUAUCUGCUGAUAUCAAAAUAAGUAGUAUAUUGAAAAAUAAAAAUUUAGGGAUGGUAAUUUUUUUAUUUUUUAUUUUUUUGCCAAAUAACCACAAGAACUAUAUACUUGCACUUCAGUUCAGCUUUAAUAUAAUUCCUAUUUUAAUGUCCUUUGUCUGACAUCCUGUGACUUCUUCAGUGACUCUCCAUCACAUAUUCUGUGACUCUUCAGUGACUCUCCAUCAUAUAUUCUGUGACUUCUUCAGUGACUCUCCAUUCCACAUGUCUCCUGUUCUGUUUAGUUCAUUAGAAUGGACUCCAAAAAUUCUCAACGGAGGGGCACAUAGUCCCCCACACAAGGGGUCCAUUUGGAGAUCGAGGAGGACAUUUUAGAGCUAAGGGGCUUUCUUGUACCAAACAGCACACUUUCAAUAGACAACAAGUUGAUGUUGCAUGGUAGAAAUAAAGACAAUUACCAAACUCUCAAUUUUUUGCAUUUCAAUUUGUACAUCUGUACUCCCGAUUGCAUACAAGCGCAUAUGUAAAACGACGUCCUUUAUUUUUUGAAUCAUUAUCUGCUGAUAUCAAAAUAAGUAGUAUAUUGAAAAAUAAAAAUAUUUUCGUGGGGUGGGGGCAUUUGUGACUCCAAAAGUCAAAAGGGGGCCUCUGGUCAAAAUAGAUUCAGAACUUUUGGACUAAACAAAACAGAAAUCCAUUAAAAUGGACUAAGCAGAACAGGAGGAGUCACAUGGGAUGGAGAGACAUGUGGGAUGAAGAGAUCACAGGAUGUGUGAUAAAAGAUUUCAGACGAAGGAUACCAAAAUAAUAAUAAUAAUAAUAAUAAUAAUAAUAAUAAUAAUUCAACAUACAACUUCACAUCAGGAAUUUUGCAAAGCAAAAUAUAAAUGUAAAAACAAAAAUACAAAUUCACGAAAAUAAAAUCCUCCCUCUACCCCCCACCCCCGUCAAUAUUAAAAAGUAAAAGUUGGGGGAGCAAUAUGUAAAUAUCAAAUGGAAUGCUUCUGUGGAUGGAGGGAAGAAGGAGUGAAUAAAGAAGCAGAAUAACUGGACAGAUACACAGUUACUCAAAUGUGCCCAUCCCACAUGAAAGAAAAAAAAAACACUAAAAAAUUAAAAUAAAAUAUAAAAAUU